rnacentral:misc_RNA from 1 species
UGUUCUGCGCUGCUUAUUGUAAAAC